AACGAACGCUGGCGGCAGGCUUAACACAUGCAAGUCGAACGAGAUCUUCGGAUCUAGUGGCAGACGGGUGAGGAACACGUGGGAACAUCCCUUUCAGUUCGGAAUAACGUUGGGAAACUAACGCUAAUACCGGAUACGUCCUUCGGGAGAAAGAUUUAUCGCUGAAAGAUUGGCCCGCGUCUGAUUAGCUAGUUGGUGAGGUAAUGGCUCACCAAGGCUACGAUCAGUAGCUGAUCUGAGAGGAUGAUCAGCCACAUUGGGACUGAGACACGGCCCAAACUCCUACGGGAGGCAGCAGUGGGGAAUAUUGCACAAUGGGCGAAAGCCUGAUGCAGCAACGCCGCGUGAGCGAUGAAGGCCUUCGGGUCGUAAAGCUCUGUCCUCAAGGAAGAUAAUGACGGUACUUGAGGAGGAAGCCCCGGCUAACUACGUGCCAGCCGCCGCUGUAA
rnacentral:rRNA from 1 species